CUGUGCACCUGGAGGUCAGUGGGCUCAGGAUCUCGUCUCUGCUUUUUGCAGGCCGCAGAGAUAAAGAGAGGAUGAAAACUGCCUCGUUCCUCCUCAAUCAGAGGUUCAGCUGGCAGAUGGACUCUGAUGGAGUCGUUCCCAGGGAGGCUGAGGAGUGUGGUCCAUCCAGGUGGAGCGCACGAUUUCCACAUGAUGUCACAGAUGUUCUCAUGUUGGCAAAGACAGCUCCACAACAUCCACCCCAGUAGCCCGGCCACCAGAGUGCUGUUAACUACCUCAGCAACAUCACCUCGGAUGAUGGGUGACUCACCGCCUGCAUUCCCAGAAUCCCUGGAGAUCCUUGAAGUAUUCUUUCCACCUCCAACGGCUUCCACCUCAAUUAAGGUGGAUGUCGGCAUUUGUGCUUCAGCUUUUUUUGUCACUGCAGAGGUUGCCGUGUUGGAUUAAAUAAAGGUUAGGCGAGGGGCACAGUGUUAACGUCAGGAGCUUCCCGCCUCCACCCCUGCUUCCUGCUGCUUUAUCAGAUGGAACAAACCACAGAUGGUGCUUGUUUUCACUUCAUGACAGAAUCAUCUCUCUAAUGCACCUCCAUUUCCCUCUUGAUCCGUCUCCCCUUUAGCUUCUUUUUAAAGUGCUUUCAGUUUGUCCUGCUUCAGCUCUUCGUUUCCUUCCAUCACUCUGUCUCCGAACAUCUGCGUUCUGUUUUCUUUUUCAAACUCGGAGUAUUUAUAUCAGAGUAUUAGUAUAAUUGCCACAUUUUUCAAGAGCCUGUGUGAGGAAUGCCGUUGUCUCGCACACAGAGAGAGAAGUGAUGGCACGGGCGUGAACAGCUUGGCUAACAGUGCUGUGUAUCAGUAGUAACAGGUGCAAGGAGGCUUAACACUCGCAAGACACUGGAUCCUUCUUGUGCGUGGGUAUGUGGGAGACAGUGUGUGUGUUUGUGGAUGAAGCAGAGAAACUGAGUGCAGCACUUUUCUCACUUAUUUAAAUUGGUUUGAGUACGCUUAGGAAAUGUUUUAUUUAAGCUGGCAUUUCUUUCUUUCUCUCUGUCAGAGUUUCUCUGCUUCCCAGUGGCCAACACACGAUGAAUCCAGCUUUAAACAUUUCAGGUAUCAGCAAUGAGAUGUAAUCACAGAGUUUUGCCGAGCAGUAUGGCAUCUUUACCGUUAUCUAAAGUGUGCAAAACGUUAAUCUGCCUUCAUUACGUGAGCAUUAGCAGAAGAGAAGCAGCAAAGCAAACAAACAUCGAUGCACAGAGAAAUAAAGCAAAUAAUGAAACGUGACGUUGGGAACGACAAACUAAAUGCAGCAGCAGUUGGUGUGGGAGGAGCUGGGAGCGGCACACGGCCCAUCUUCCAACGCACCGAUGAUCCUUCCAGUAAAAGAAACUCUGAGAAAGUCAGUAUUAGCAAAGCUUCUGUCAAGUUUCACGUCUACGGCGAGGCAAACUCAGCGAGAGCGUUCAGCCCGGGCUCCUCCACGUCCACACAGACGUAAGCAUCUGCAGAAGCUGCGUUCUCCUGGGAGCUCUUUGUGGAGAUAUAAAACGAAGCUGGAGGAGGAAGAACAGUUUAUUCAUUUAAGCAUUACUGCAGGAUCUUUACCGUACAAUACAAGGAACCCUGAGGCAACUGCUGAUGUGAUGUUUGGUGCUGUAUAAAUACAUAACACUGAACUGGAUUCAUGUAUAAAAAUAAAAGUUUUAUCUAACAGCACACAUGAUGGGAUGGAUGUCACAUUUUAAUACCUCCAAAUGUUUGAUUUACUCCAUGAAUUUAUAUGAUGUGAGGACCUGCCCUGGUGUGGUAACCCCUCUGUGCACGAGGACCAUCUGUGUGAUCGCCGUCCUGCAGCAGAUUGAAGUGUUAAUCUAAACAUGGGUUUGAAGAUGGAACGUGACUGCGAGCGGUCGCAGAGCUCGUCCCCAUCCUUCACGUGAACAUUUCAAAGGUGACGAGAAUCUGGCCUUCAGGCAGCAGAAACCCAAACAUGAUUGGAUGGGAUUCAGAGAAACGGGCAGAUGGAACGAGACAGACGGAAGUUGCUGGAAAAAAACAUCAGAAAAUGAGUAAGCGACAAACGGAGCGAGAUGCACGGAGCGAACGGCCAACCUUUACAGGUCAUCGCAGCAGGAUGUUUCUGAGGACCGUCUGCUGAUGUGGAAGAUCGCACAUUAUUGGCUUUCUUUAACCCUGAGGACACGUUUUGCUAACGGCAGCCUUCCGUCUAUCAGAUCUAAACCACAUGAGAUCAGAAUAUUGAAAAAUGGAGAUGAAUCACUGAGCUGAAUAUCCCCAGGUUACCCAAACAGACUGCAGAGCUGAGAGCUGUGAGACCUGCUUGGAGUCGUGGUACGUCUGUGAGGAAACGUCUGGUUUGUGCCCAGGUGGACUUUCCUGAUAGGAGCAGGGGCCGUUCCUUAAGAUGACCUCACACACCACCUCGGGGAGUUUUCAUCAUCAGCCAGUAAAAACACAUGGAACCAAAGAGUCAAUGGGAAGAUGGAGCUGGAGCGCUGAAGCUGCGUGGUGACAGACAUCAUAGUAAAGAUGGUGCAAAUACAUUUGUAUCAGCACGAUCAGACCAAUAAAGCAUUUACUGAGAGUGCACCGAAGGAUACCAGAGUAACCGCUGACGGAUGAGGCUGCUGAUGGAGGCGGAGGUGGAGAGUUUGUAGCUCCACUGAAGCAGCAGGCAGUUACGUGAUUGGUACAUGGAUUCCAAUUACUGAGCGAUCAGGAGGCUUCGUGCGCGCUGGCUUGUUGCAGGGAAGUUUAGCAGCAAUCAUUAGCAUCUCUUCAAACGCCGUGCGACCAGCAGUACGUCUUCAUCUGUUUGUUUACCAUUCAGACAGCCGAGGAAUUCUGGGUGAAUGUCAGCAAACUGAAAGCAUGCAGGUUUCCUAUCACAUCCUGACACUUUCAUAUUCUGAUAAGCUGAACAGAAUGACAAGCACAUCCCUGCGGAGACACCUGGGAAAUAAUAACAGCCUAUUCUGCACUUUUAGCUUCAGUGUAAAUCUGUGUAAGAAGAUAAGUGCAGCAUUAAACGAGUACAGUGACUGAUGAUGGCGUUUGCAAGAAGAAAGCAGAAUUAUGUUGUGUUUUGAAGUCCUGCCAAUAUGAAGUAAAAAAAUUAAAGCGUACUAUUUUACUCCUCAGAACCAAAACACCUGUAAUUCUCUCAGCCUGCACACUAACAGGCGUAUAAGCCAAUUUCUUCCACAUUCAU